UACGUAGGGGCCGAGCGUUGUCCGGAGUUACUGGGCGUAAAGCGCGCGCAGGCGGCCACUUAAGCCCGGCGUGAAAGCCCCCGGCUCAACCGGGGAGGGUCGUCGGGGACUGGGUGGCUUGAGGACGGCAGGGGCUGGUGGAAUCCCCGGUGUAGUGGUGAAAUGCGUAGAGAUCGGGGGGAACACCCGUGGCGAAGGCGGCCAGCUGGGCCGGUCCUGACGCUGAGGAGCGAAAGCGUGGGGAGCGAACAGG
rnacentral:rRNA from 1 species